CCUACGGGAGGCUGCAGUAGGGAAUAUUGGACAAUGGACGCAAGUCUGAUCCAGCCAUCCCGCGUGAAGGAUUAAGGCCUCUGGGUUGUAAACUUCUUUUCUUUGGGAAUAGGUACCAGAGGAAUAAGCACCGGCUAACUCCGUGCCAGCAGCCGCGGUAAUACGGAGGGUGCAAGCGUUAUCCGGAUUCACUGGGUUUAAAGGGUGCGUAGGUGGCUUUGUAAGUCAGCGGUGAAAGCCUGGAGCUCAACUCCAGAAUUGCCAUUGAUACUGCAGAGCUUGAAUCAAGUUGAGGUGGAUGGAAUAUUACAUGUAGCGGUGAAAUGCUUAGAUAUGUAAUAGAACACCAAUUGCGAAGGCAGUUCACUAAGCUGAUUGACACUGAGGCACGAAAGCGUGGGGAUCAAACAGGAUUAGAUACCCUUGUAGUC
rnacentral:rRNA from 1 species